AUGACAUCUCAAGCCAGAAGACUCUCUAAUGCCCAGAUCUUGGUAUCUAAUGCUAUUCUUCAAUAAAAAGAAUCAGAGCUCCUUGGAAAAAAGGCUGAUUCCAGGAAUGGGACAGGAAAAAUACCAGAAGAUGACAUUUGGUGAUGAGGAGCCAGCCAGAAAGAAGAUGAAGAGAAAGAGCGGUCCAGGCAUAGAAGACGGACUUACCUAGUCGAGGGUGCCUCUCGUAUUAAGCCCUAAGGGUUUCAGCAGUCAGCUCUCAGGUUUGGGUAG